UACGGCCACACCACCUUGAACUCACCCGAUCUCGUCUGAUCUCGGAAGCUAAGCAGGGUCGGGCCUGGUUAGGACUUGGAUGGGAGAUGAGAAACCCUGCAGAGCUGAAC
rnacentral:rRNA from 1 species